UUUCCUUAUCUUGUGCUCAUCC
rnacentral:siRNA from 1 species